AAGUUAGUGAAUCUAGAAGUGCUUUGACUCUGGAAGUGCUUUAGCGGUUCAUGCUCUCUCCGUGGUUAAACAUGUUCUACUAACAAAGAAAAAUUGAUGAUAAGCCAAAGGAAUCAUUCCCGGGGCAUGAUACUCAAAUGUGAAGCAUUAGAUGACACCUUUCUAAAGGUUAGAACCAUUUCAAUGCAAUGACUACGUAGUCAAGUGUGGUAUAAAUAUGAAUCAGUCCAUGCAAGAUCAAAUUGGCUAUUAGUUACAGGUAGAGAGAAGCAGAGCCCCUGCUGCCGACGUUGCCUCCUGCACAGCCUGAUCUUGGGGACGAGCUGUUGGUGCUAUCGGGAUAUUGGUGCCGAGUUGCCGACGAGGCCUCUGGCGUUGCCAGGAGGUUGGGCUCGAGCUGCCACAGCUGCCGGUGUUGACUCCUGCAUAGGCGGGAGGUUGUGGGCUAGCUGCCGGAGUGGCCUGGCCCUUGGCGAUCAGGUGGAUUGGUCGGCUGGAUUCUGGUCGAAUUGAUCCCGUUGUAGCUUGGCUGCUGGCGAUCGAUUCCAGAGCGACCUGGCUCCUAGCGAUCGAUUCUGGAGCGGCCUGGCUCCUAUCGAUCUGGAG